UCUUGAAGUAAAAAAAAAAAAAAAAUUCGACUCGCUGCUGAAGGCGUUAAUACGACGCUAACGAAGCAUAGCCUUUCCGAAGCAUAGCUGGCAACAGUUCCACCCAUCUGUGCCGAGUGGGAUGUGCAAGCAGAAGUCAGGGCUGAAAGCCCUCCACCUGUUUGCAGAAAGUUUGUCCUUUCCAUGUGGGUCAAUGGCAGCUCAAUUCCUGAUACAUCAAAUCCAGAAACUUGCUGAGACCAUCAGUAUCUCUGGCAGCAUCACAUGGUACAGAUGACACUUACUGUGUCUGUGGUACAUGGCAAAUUUGUUCUCAGGAUCAGAAUUCUCUGUGGAUGUGGUACAUGUCAUGUUCUUCAGGAGCUCCUGCUAUGCUUAAGAAAAAGAAAAUUUUCAUCUGAAGCACACUAAUAAUUGUUGUAAAAUAAGAAGGUAUUUCCAAAAUGUCAAAGUUGCCCACAGCAUUUCCAUCAGGCCCUACAGUGACUUUACUGUUGGCUGAUUCCAGAGAGCCAUCUCAUUACUCUGAGUUGAAAUUUCUCCAUCUCCAAAAUUAGAGGAUUUGGGAUUCUGAAGUCAGUAGGAAAAUGCAUAUCUCUAUAGGCACAUUUCACUAGUGAUGGCCACAGAAUGAAGAUUGAGUGCUCCCCCGUGAAAACUACAAUAUCACUUUGGUUUGGUGAGCAUGCCAUGAUGGUACUCAGAAGUCCUGCAGUUGAAAACAGCUUUUCUACCCUAUCCAGAUGACAAGACCUUUGGGGCAUCAGGCACUUCAGAAACCUAAAUCCAGUGGGACAGUUGAAAGUUUGGUAAGAAUGUGCCUAACUGAACAGCUGGACAUGAGAAGAACCAGUGCUUCACUGCUGAGUGGGUUUGGCAGCACUGCUAGGACUGCAUAGCUGGGCUGACCUAGCUAAUCCUAGAACUGAAAAAACACCAUGGCAUAGCUUUUCAACUGUUUCAGGGAAAGUUAAUGAUUUUGUAUCCAAAGCUGAUAUGCAUAAUUCCAGAGGGAGGUUUUUUGGUUUUAGAUUGUAGUCAGUGGCUAGUAACCUUUGUGUCUGUAUCUAAACUCCCUUAGUGACCAUCUGCUGCUACAUAUGUAUGUUGUACAUAAAUACAUAUCUCAGCUGUCCCACAGGUGGAGGGCUGUCAUCAGGGCUUGCUUUAGCCAACCACACUGUGUGAAUCACAUACAGUGAUGGGAGCACAAAAUUUGGAUUGUUUGGCAUAUAGAAGCACUCAGAUUGCUUUAUCAAGAAGACUUUUCUGGUUUUAAGUUUCAUAAAUUUAUAACCUGAACUGAUUCAAAUAAGUUCAGCUUUCUCUUGUUACUGUGUUUUGUGCUUUUCUGAGAAGAUGAUUGAAAAAGAUGGAUGCUGAAAAAGAGGAGUGGCCUCUCACUGAUCUUAAGGUUUUGAAAUGUAUUAUCCUUUAAAAAAACCCCACAAACUAGUUUGCUAUAAUAGUUCCAGCAUCAACAGUCACUAAUCUAUUUUCCAUGCAAUGGCCAUAGUAAAAUAUAGGAGUGUGUAUUUAAUGUUUUGAUUUCAUUAAUCUAAAAGUACAAUU